rnacentral:tRNA from 1 species
GCCACUGUGGGACAAUCUGGUACUCCGAUGGCCUUGAGAGCCGUUUUCCGAAAGGAUCUCCCGGUUCGAAUCCGGGCGGUGGCG